UCGACGACAUCAGCCUGCUGAUGAGCUCCCACACGAAUUGCUUGAUUCAUUUGCUGAUGAGAAUUCAGAAAUGAACAUUCGUUGAUGAAUGUUGAUUUCUGACUUUUGUCAGACCGUUCUUUAAAAAUUCGGAUAUGUGAUAGAUAUAGACUGACACGCACUUUCACUGGUGUGUGAUCAGGCUAAGGUAAAAUUUGUGAGUUCUGCUCUUAAUUGAGCGAAAUGCGAAUUUUCGGCGAAUGUCGUCUUCACAGUAUAACCAGAUUG
rnacentral:misc_RNA from 1 species